AUGGAAUAUGCACAUACAAAAUCGUGUGAGGAAGUGUUAGAAUACUUCAAUGUUGAAACGGACGGUCUAUCGGAGGAACAAGUUAAAACAAAUACAGAGAAAUACGGUCCGAAUGAACUACCGACAGAAGAGGGUAAACCACUAUGGGAACUGAUCCUAGAACAGUUCGACGAUCUAUUAGUGAAGAUUCUGUUGCUAGCAGCUAUAAUCUCAUUUGUAUUAGCUUGGUUUGAGGAGAGUGAAGAACAAGUGACAGCCUUUGUAGAGCCAUUUGUAAUUCUGACGAUUUUAAUAUGUAACGCCGUUGUAGGAGUAUGGCAGGAAAAAAAUGCAGAGGAUGCUAUUGAAGCGCUGAAAGAGUAUGAACCAGAAAUCGCAAAAGUGGUGCGUAAGGGACAAAGAGGAGUACAGAAGAUCCGCGCCAGUUUGUUGGUCCCUGGAGACAUUGUCGAGAUCUCCGUUGGAGACAAAAUUCCAGCAGAUAUUCGUAUCCUCCACAUUUAUUCCACAACACUUAGGAUAGACCAGUCCAUUCUUACAGGAGAGAGUGUGAGCGUGAUCAAACACACCGAUCCCAUCCCCGACCCUCGGGCUGUCAACCAGGACAAGAAAAACAUCCUCUUCUCUGGAACAAACAUCUCAGCAGGAAAAUGCAAGGGAAUCGCUUUCGGAACCGGCCUGAAUACUGCUAUUGGCAAGAUCCGAGACGAGAUGAUGGAGACAGAGACCGAGAAGACACCUCUUCAACAGAAACUGGACGAGUUCGGAACUCAACUUUCUAAGGUUAUCACUAUCAUCUGUAUCUGCGUAUGGGCCAUCAACAUCGGUCAUUUCAACGAUCCCGCCCACGGAGGAUCAUGGAUGAAGGGCGCCAUCUACUACUUCAAGAUUGCUGUGGCUCUGGCUGUGGCUGCCAUUCCUGAGGGUCUGCCUGCUGUCAUCACAACCUGUCUGGCUCUCGGUACCAGAAGGAUGGCUAAGAAGAAUGCCAUUGUCAGGAGUCUGCCGUCCGUUGAGACCCUUGGCUGUACCUCAGUCAUCUGCUCUGAUAAGACUGGCACACUGACCACCAACCAGAUGUCUGUUUGCAAGAUGUUUGUGUUUAACAAAGUUGAGGGUGCUGACAUUCAAACCCAGCAGUUCGAGAUCACCGGCUCUACUUAUGCCCCAGAGGGAGAUGUUUACUUGGGUGGUAAGAAGGUGAAGACAUGCGACUACGAUGGUCUAGAGGAGAUGGCCACCAUCUGUGCGAUGUGCAAUGACUCCAGCGUAGAUUACAAUGAUACCAAGGGAGUGUAUGAGAAGGUUGGUGAGGCCACAGAGACUGCCCUGACUGUUCUGUGUGAGAAGAUGAACUUCUUCAACACCGGUAGAUCUGGCUUGAAUCUGAGGGAGCAGGGUACUGUCUGUAACCAUGUCAUCCAGCAGAUGUGGUCUAAAGAGUUCACACUGGAGUUCUCCCGCGACCGGAAGUCCAUGAGUGUCUACUGCACACCAAACAAACCCAGCAAAAUCCCCGGUGGUACCAAGAUGUUUGCCAAGGGUGCCCCUGAGGGUCUUCUAGAUAGAUGUACACAUGUGCGUGUUGGAAAGGACAAGGUCCCCAUGUCGCCUGCCAUCAAGAACGAAAUCUUGAAAUACACCAAGGCCUAUGGAACUGGACGUGAUACGCUGCGUUGUCUUGCCCUGGCCACCAUUGAUGCUCCUCCACGCCGCGAGGACAUGGACCUGGAAGAUUCCCGCAAGUUCAUCCAGUAUGAGACCAAUAUGACAUUCGUAGGAGUCGUAGGAAUGUUGGACCCCCCACGUAUGGAAGUGUUCGACUCCAUCAAGAACUGCCGCAAGGCUGGAAUCCGUGUCAUUGUCAUCACCGGCGACAACAAGGCCACAGCUGAGGCUAUCUGUCGUAGGAUCGGUGUGUUCGGCGAAAACGAGUCUACAGAAGGCAUGUCCUUCACUGGCCGCGAGUUUGAUGACCUGUCACAUGAAGAGCAGCGAUUGGCGGUAACAAAGAGUCGUCUGUUUGCCCGUGUAGAGCCUGCUCACAAGAGUAAGAUCGUAGAGUACCUGCAAGGAGAAGGAGAAAUCUCGGCCAUGACAGGAGAUGGAGUAAACGACGCCCCUGCUCUGAAGAAAGCCGAAAUUGGUAUCGCCAUGGGAUCUGGAACUGCUGUGGCCAAGUCUGCCUCUGAGAUGGUGUUGGCUGAUGACAACUUCGCAACAAUUGUGUCCGCUGUGGAAGAGGGCCGCGCCAUCUACAACAACAUGAAACAAUUCAUCAGAUAUCUCAUCUCCUCCAACAUUGGAGAGGUCGUAUGUAUCUUCUUGACUGCUGCUCUUGGCAUCCCUGAGGCUCUCAUCCCCGUACAGCUUCUGUGGGUGAACUUGGUAACUGAUGGUCUUCCAGCCACUGCCCUCGGCUUCAACCCCCCAGAUAUGGACAUCAUGAAGAAACCUCCCAGGAAUGCAAAGGAAGGUCUCAUCACCGGCUGGUUGUUCUUCAGAUAUAUGGCUAUUGGAGGCUACGUUGGAUGUGCGACUGUUGGUGCUGCCGCCUGGUGGUUCAUGGUCUAUGACAAAGGGCCCCAACUCAACUACUACCAGCUGACUCAUCACAUGCAGUGUCUAGCUGAGCCUAAGAUGUUCCCUGGAAUUGACUGUAAGAUCUUCGGUGCUCCAGAGCCGAUGACCAUGGCUCUCUCUGUACUUGUCACCAUUGAAAUGCUUAAUGCUCUCAACAGCUUGUCUGAGAACCAGUCCCUGCUGGUGAUGCCCCCUUGGUGUAACAAGUGGCUGUUAGGAGCCAUGGCUCUGUCUAUGGGACUCCACUUUUGCAUCCUCUACAUUGACGUCAUGUCGACCAUCUUCCAAAUCACGCCUCUUGGAUUUGAAGAAUGGUUCGCCGUACUCAAGAUCUCAAUGCCUGUGAUACUUAUAGACGAAACAUUGAAGUUCUGUGCUCGCAAAUUCACUGACGCGUAAAUAUUUCGACACAUUAUACAAGACACAGACAAGGACAAGUUGUGAGGUCCAGUGAAGAAGGCAGCCAUUUCGUACAACCUGCUGGACUCGAGACACACAAGAAACAUCGGUAAGGGAAGGACGCUGGUGAUCCCGACUCGUGUGAAUUAGUGAUUUUAACCAAUCAGUGUGGAUGCUAUAGGACCAUUCGGCUUCAUCUCAGUGGAAUACAAACAGUUGACGAUGAUUGCCUUAUAUGGUCGUGUGUACUAGUUCCUUCAACCUGAACUACCAGAGUGGAUGUUAUAUAUUUAGAUAGAAGCUUUCAGCGUCUACCAACCCAGGAAGCACAUAAGAAGCUCAUGUGUGAUUGUCCCUCACUUUGCUCCAAAUUUUACUCCUUACCCAAAAUUCUCCAGGAAUGAGGAAAUUCAAAAUAGGUGAAUUAUCAAUCUUCAAAACAACUCCGUUUAGCAAAAAUGACUGUAACCCGCCGGAAGUGUGGUACCGGAAACGAUUCCUCGUGUGACGUAUUGUACCAGAUACCCGGACUAUUUUUACGUGUAUAUUUAUGCAAAUGUAAGCUAAUUUAUGACAAGUCAUCGAAUUAUUUAUGUCAGUGGUGAAAAACGUAUAAUUGUGGCAUUUUCUAAAGAAUAUUAGUUCCAUGAAUAUUGUAGAUAUUUAUUUCUGUGAUUGGACUCUUAUGCACCUCUGACCUUUGACCUCUUCAAUGAUAAACAGGGAAAAGGGGACACAACUCGUUUAUUCUUCAUGUGAUGUUUCAAAAGAGUUACAAUAUAUAAACACUGUAUGCCUUUAUUUUUAUUGAAAAUAUAGAAAUUAUCAAUUAAAUUCCAUGAAAAUGACACAAGAUCCUAAUUAGACCGUAUGUGGUCGACCAAAGUUCUUAUUUUGAAAAGGCAUAACCCAGUUAACGAUGUCAAGGGUCAUCAGGCUAGGAUUGAAAACAGUUCGAAGGGGUCAAAGGUCAUAUAUUGUCACCAAUAUUUCCUCAAAUACUAAUAUCGGGAAGUUUUUUCGUUAAGUGAACGGUCAAACUAUGUGUAUUAAGAUCAUUAGACCAUACAUUGUGUAUCUUUAUGCAAGUCUGUAGUGAAACUUAGGUGUUUGUGUGUAUUGACAUGUGUUUUGAAUUCAGAAUUAUCUAGAGGAAAAUAUCAGAUAGUCAUAUUCCACCAAACGUUUUCAAUUGAUGUCCCAUAUAUAUGAUAGGUUCAAGCGUUUUAAAACUUGAUGACCAUGCAGAGAGCAGUGAAGGAAAACAAUCAAACAUUUCAAGUUUUCAUAUAUCAUUUCAUUCGUUUUACAUAGUUUUCAUAUGUGAUUUGUGAAAAAAAAUUGGAGACCCCAAACCCCAUUUUACCUCUUUCCUGCCAAUUCUUCGGGUAGAAUGUGUUCCACCAUUGACUGUCAGCUCAUACUCGACCAGGUAUACAGCGUCAGUAGGAAGCCAUAUGUAUUUGAUAUCCUAGGCGUAGUGAGAAAUAGCUGUAGUAUAGGAUUAUCGCUGAGAGAUUUAUGUGUCUUACCAAUAAUCAUAGAUAUCGCUAAGACAUAUUUUAUGUGUCUUACCAAUAAUCAUAGGUAUCGUUAAGACAUAUUUUAUGUGUCUUACCAAUAAUCAUAGGUAUCGCUAAAGACAUUUAUGUGUCUUACCAAUAACCAUAGGUAUCGCUAAGACAUUUAUGUGUCUUACCAAUAAUCAUAGGUAUCGCUAAGACAUUUCUAGAAAUAGGCUUCAUAGCAGUAGACUUACUAGAAGUAGUGAUUCAAUCUCUGGGUUCUGUAAAUUGAAGCAUGUAUGUGCUGAAAUCUACACGGCUGAGUGGUAACUGUUACUCUGUCAUCGCUGGUUACACGUGUCGAUACUUACUGGAUGACGUCACCCAGUGAUAGGUACUGCUAUGGCAACUGAGUGCUGAAAUUUACCAAAGAAUUUUACCGACGAACAUUACAAGGUAUCCAGAGACAAGAAGAAAUUAACAAAAACAAAACUAAAACUGUGGUCAUUCACAUCUCAGUGACGUCAUCGGCACUAUUUCAGUGGGUGUUUAAUCGUACUGUCAGAAAAAGAGUGCACCAACAAUACUUUUGUAUGUAGCUUUGUGACGUACCUUUCGUCCAAUGAUUUGACGCCAUUGUGGUCACGUGGUGUGAUAUCAUAUGUACAUAUCAUUUCCAUGCGUCUUGUUAUUUGUUGUCCCUCUACUCGUUGAAAUGGCAGCAUAUCUGUAGUAACUGCCGGAUUUGUAAAUUUCCUAUAGAAAUAAAGAUUAUUUUGUUUGUAAA
rnacentral:misc_RNA from 1 species